CCUACGGGUGGCAGCAGUGAGGAAUAUUGGUCAAUGGGCGGGAGCCUGAACCAGCCAAGCCGCGUGAGGGAAGAAGGUACAGCGUAUCGUAAACCUCUUUUGUCAGGGAACAAAGGCGGGGACUAGUCCCCGAAUGAGGGUACCUGAAGAAAAAGCAUCGGCUAACUCCGUGCCAGCAGCCGCGGUAAUACGGAGGAUGCGAGCGUUAGCCGGAUUUAUUGGGUUUAAAGGGUGCGCAGGCGGCCUGUUAAGUCAGCGGUAAAAGUCCGGGGGUCAACGUGGCAACUGCCUUGGAAACUGGCAAAGUGGAGUGUGUGAGAGGAUAGUGGAAUUCCAGGUGUAGGAGUGAAAUCCGUAGAUAUCUGGAGUAACAUCAGUGGCGAAGGCGAGUAUCUGGCACAUAACUGACGCUGAGGAGCGAAAGCGUGGGUAGCAAACAGGAUUAGAUACCCCAGUAGUC
rnacentral:rRNA from 1 species